GGCUUGGUAGCUCAGCUGGUAGAGCAGAGGACUGAAAAUCCUUGUGUCGGCGGUUCAAUUCCGUCUCAAGCCACCA
rnacentral:tRNA from 1 species